UACGAAGGGGGCGAGCGUUGUUCGGAAUUACUGGGCGUAAAGGGCGCGCAGGCGGUAGGCCAAGUCAGGCGUGAAAGCCCCGGGCUUAACCUGGGAACUGCGUCUGGGACUGGUCUGCUAGAGAUCGGGAGAGGAGAGUGGAAUUCCCAGUGUAGAGGUGAAAUUCGUAGAUAUUGGGAAGAACACCGGUGGCGAAGGCGGCUCUCUGGACCGAUACUGACGCUGAGGCGCGAAAGCGUGGGGAG
rnacentral:rRNA from 1 species